GGCGCUUUCUUUGCACAAACUGGAGGGAGCUGCUGAUGCUGCAGUAGCUGUUUGGGCCCUCAGGAACCCACACGUUAUUCUGGAAUGGCUGGGCAAAGACUUAAAGGACUACUGCAUUCUUCUGCCAUGGAUUCCCCCCCCACCCCAUCUUAAGGAGAAACAAAGUUUUGCAGGUAAACUGAUUGAUUGUUUGGAGAAAACAAUAACUUUACAAAGACUCUUUGGCCAUGUGAGACUAAUGGUUGGACAAAUGGAUCUUCUCUAUCUUCCAAUCAAGAAGUGAGGUCAAGUUUGGGAACUGAAAGAAACAAGUCUAGUUCCAAGAAGAACAAAUAACUGGAGAGCCCAAGUCAAAAUGGAUAGAUUGCUCUCCUGACCACAGCCACACCAAGGGCCAGGUGGCAAAGGAUCUUUAAAGUCCUAUCCUCCCAUAUGCAGCAAGGCUUGGAGUGGGAGAACCAGGGUGAGUGCCUGGGACUGGGAGAUUCAGUCUGUUCCUAGGAGUUGGAUGCUCUUUCCUCACCAGGCUUUGAAUAGUCCCAGGAAGGAAGUCAAGAAGAGGAAGUCACAAGUAUCUCUCACAGCCACACUACAGGCCAGGGAAGCCCUAACUGGAGGGAAGCUCCUUCUUGGACCAUUUCUGACACCAACAAAUGCUGUAAAAACAGGGUUGUCAGGUCAGGGCUGAGUGACAACCGGAGCUUGCCCUUCCCAUAGGAGAGAUCAUCCCCCCACCAUCUGGACCUCUGGCCUGCCAUAAGACUCCACUUGGUGAACCCAAGAUGAGCAGCACCAACAGAAGGGGAGGGCUGAGAUCCAGUACCAAUGAGGGAGUGCCUGCCUGGAUAUUCAGAGUCACUUCUCAUUGGUCUACUCUGGAUUAGGGGGGAGCAGGCCCUACCUAGUACGGAUCUAACCAGUUUCAGGAAGAGGUGGGGCUUCCUGUAUUCCUUAGAAGCUGCUCUUUAUGAGUUAGGCAUUUACUGGUGCAACUGGGGAAGUGUGAAUUUCAUCAGAGCCAGCUCUAGCCCCCCUGAUCCUCGUUUUCAGCUCCAGUCUUUUUCUUGGCCCUGUUCUUCCUGCCCACUAUCUUAUCUCUCUAGCUUCUGACUGAUCUUCAAGCCAGGCUCACUGGAUUCCUCCCAAAACGCCUCCCAGUAGGACAGGAAAGAGAGAAGUGCAUCAUGCUACCAUGGUGGAGAGGGAGAGGCGGUUAGGAGAAUGCAGUAGCCUGUAAUGGCAAGUUGCAGAAAGACUGGGUGGCCCUUUGUUACCAAGGCCAGUGCUGGUGAAAUUCAGUUGCUUUGGAUCCGGGGGAGGGAGGGAGGGAGGAAGGGAACGGAUUAGGAAGUGGAGACCUGCAAGGGGAGAUGAGGACAAUAAGAAAUAAAACCAGCAGUACCAACUCCAUCUUCCCUGUAUCUGAUGAGAGAUGGGAUGGGGGGAGUGUUAAGUCGCAGGGGAAAUGUGGAUACAGGAUGCAGAAAGAGGAAUGGGUCACUCAGAGUCCAAGGGUGUGUCAAGGUCUUCCUGUGAGUAGAGACAAGAGAUGCAUGUUGGUGUAAUUUCCUGCUGUGAGUGAAUAGUGGGUGGGGAAUCCUAGCAAGCAUUUCUGACUGCCAGGGAUAUUCCCACAGCUCAGUUCAGGGCUAGGUAACCUUGGCUCUCCAGCCAAUAAAUUGCAGCUGGGGAUCUUGGGAGUUGUAGUCCAGUAAGAGCUGGAGAGCCAUGGUUGC